rnacentral:lncRNA from 1 species
UCAGUGCAUGGUGCUGCAUCAAAUGAAAACUACAAUACAUACCUUCCGAGCAUGCAGCAAUAUAUAAGAAUAUAUAUGUAUUCUAAAACAUGCAGCAAGUAUAUAUAUAUAUGACUUAAACAAUGAAAGUGCAGCAGCAAUCCAAGACUAAAAAACCUUAUUCUCAUAUAGCAGCAGCAUCCUUUUCACUUUCACGAAACGCAAAGGCAGCAACACAAAAACUCUUUUGUUUGUCUUUCAAAACAUGCAGCAAUAUCGGAAUGCGACGGCAACACCAAAACUUAAAAAAAACCUUUCUAAUCUCUACAGCCGUGCUAAACCAAGUAAUUAGGACCCCUAUUUAUAUGUGUGUAUAUAUGCUAGGGUUUUUUAAGCUGACUUAAAAUUAUGGGCUUAAACUAAAGCAUAGUUAAACUAAAUGGCCCAUUGAAUGCAAACUUAGACUAUAUGAAUAUGCAUGCCAAAUUUACCUGAGUGGAUGUCUUUGAAAACACUUGCCAUUUUGUGAUUGAGAGCACGUGAGACAAACUUAAACUAAAAUAAUUACAACUGAAAACAAGCACUAGUCUAAGAUUACAGACUUAGGCGUUUUGUUUAGGAAUAGCCAAUUUUACCCUAACAAUCUCCCCCUUUGGCAUUUCCUAGACAAAACCCUCAAUCACAAUAUUACAGACAUAUAAUAUUAUUAAAGACCAUGCAUAACAUCAAAGUCUGUAACCUGCACACACUCAAACAAGAAAACCUGUGACGCACGAAAGAUAUAAGUUUCUGAAAAUAAAAGUAUUUAUCUAUGAAAGCAAGCAACAAAAAAACAAUCAGGUUUUCGAAUUUCUAUUUCUCCCCCUAAAUAUAAGCUUCCUACUUCUCCCCCUUUUUGUCUAGAAAGGUCAAAGGCCUUAGAGGUAACCAUCAGGUGCAGUCAGCGGAAGAUAAGUGGAACAUAACAAAAUAUGAUGGAGAAAGAUUUCCUUUCUAUGAACUAGGACCUCUUCGGAAGAAUAAAAGUGGGGACGAAAUUGGGAGGGAAAAGAAUGCAAGUGCAAUAGUCGAAAAGAGAAACAUGAAAAGAAAUGCAUCUUUCAUAUUGUUAAGCUCCCCCUAAACAAAUGCUUAAAAAAAUUAAUGAAAUGCAACACACAAAUGAUAUGAUUUUUUAUUUUUUUUAUUUUUUACUUUUUUUUAAAUUGUAUGAGAAGCAUAUAAUUGUUCCAACAAGAAUGAAAGAGUGCAAAAACACAUGUAGUUCUGAAUCCUCAUUCACAAGCUAACAUUGUCCCUAAAACAUAACAUGUAUGAGUGUAGUUGCAAGUAUAGCCGAAAGUUGAUUCUACACAAAUGUAAUUAAGUCUUACAGGACCAUCUUACUUUAACCCUUAAACUCACAAGAUAUACGCUCGAAUUUUCAUUCAAAGUGUUUGGGGGUAAGUGUAUACGCUCAAAAGAUCAUUACAUGAAUGUUCUACCAUAGGCUUGCAGAUUGAUCUCAUCUCCACACAUCAAAAAUUACCUUCUUUGGAUCAAGUAGGUCUUUGUGAAGGGUUGUAAUGGGGCUUCAGGUACUCGGUUAAAGAAAUGAAGGAUAUAGGAAACACAAAGUCUAAGAAACUAAUAGAGUAGUUGGAAAUGAAACCAAGAGAGAAAUACAACAACGAACCAGGUAACUUAGCACUCAAUUGAGCGGUUGGAUUUAAGACAUGAACGACAUACAACCGCACAAUUCAUUUCAGAUGAUUCUUGCUCUUCAUUUAGACCAACACACUUGAUUUCUUAUAAUGCUAGCAGCUCACUUAUGAUUCAUAGUGACUUCUUUUCCUCUUUUCUUCUUUUGCUUUUCAUGUGUUGUUGGCUUUCUUCACAAAAUUUUGCAUCUUCAACUUUUAAAUAACAUUGAACUCUCUCCUUUGAAAAACGUACUCUACUAGCUUCUUAGUAGGGUAGGGAAUUUUUAAUGUAAGAGGCUAGGUAAGGAAAAUGUAGGUUUAAGAACAAAAGACUUACAUAUAGGCUCAAAAGGGUUAACUAGGGGAAAACAUAUAAGGCACUGCCAUAUAUGGCAAUGAUGGUAAGUCCUAAUGCCUACUAUCGUCUCCAAAAUAGAAUAAUAUAUGAUACAAAGUUUUGAGAGGUCUCAAAGCAAGUUCUAAAGAAGCAAAACACAUAAGAUCACACACAUGAAAAAAAUAAGAGUGUAUGAAAAAUGCACACACUAUAUUUAGGCACAAAAGCUCACAUGGGUGCGGGUUUUACUCAAGUUAAACAUGUUCAACUCAUUAACAUUGAUAUAUUAUCAACAAGAGGCUAUUGUCCACAACAGAGUCAAACAUAUCAUGCUAGGGUCAUGUUAUCAAGUGAACAAAGCUAGAACUCAUAUGAAAUCAUACUUUUCCAUUUUUCCUCAUACAUUUUUUUUUUAAUUUUUUUUUUUUUUUUUAACAAGAAGAAAGACAAAAAAUGCAGUAUUUAUGCUAUAUGAACAUGCAAGCAUGCAUUAAUGAAAACAUUUGCAAAGAGAGAGCUUAGUCAAUAUAAACAACUUGAAAGUGGAGAUAAAUUGACAAGUACACCACUUUGAUUCUCUUUUCUUCUCCAAAUUUGUCUUACUUUUGGAACUACCGUACUUGGAACAGAUAUAAUUCUUGCAAUCCGAUUAAUCUCUUUCAAAUAAGUCACAAAUUGUUCCUUAAGAUUUUCUUUUUCAAAGUUCCUUGAAACUUUUUCUUGAGAAGAAUUUUUCUUUCUAAGCUUAUUGCACUUAGGCCGGAUGUGACCAGGAAUCCCACAAAGAUGACAUAUAGGAAUGAACUUCCUAGAUUGUUUGGGUUUGUUAAGAUUAAUUGAAGUCAAAGUCUUGACAGGAUUUGACACAUGUGCAAAGAUUGUAGAUGUUUCGGGAGUAAGACCUAAACAUUUAUCGUCACCUACUUUCAAACUAGGAAUAUCAGAGGCUUUGACAAAUCUGGUGACAGAAGAAGAACUUGCAGUCUUUGUAGACUCGAAUCCUAGACCUCCUUUGUCUCCAAAACUUUUUCCAUAGCUAAGCAUCUUGUCAAUUUUCCCCGAACCUAUGCUCAACUCAUGAACUUUUCUUCUCAUCUCAACCACUUCGUCCUCAAGAGCUUUCUUAUCAGACGAGAGAGUGUUAAUUGUGGUUUGUAGAAUGUGAAUCUUCUCUAACAGCGACUCUCGCAGUUUCUCUCCAUUGUCCAACUGAGAUUGAUGCUCAACUUCAGCUUCUUUCUUUUCACUUUCAACAAAUGCAAGUUUCUUCUUCAAGUUAGAGUUAUCCUUUUUUACUUGCACACUGAUAUCAUAGAGAUCAGAAUAUUUUCUCAAGACUUCUUCCAAGUCAGGUUCUUCAACAAAUGAACCUUCUGUGUCAUAUCCAUCAACAGUUCCUAUAAACGCAAUCGUAUCCUUCUCAGAUUCCGACGUAGAUGCAUCCCCUGAAUCACUAUCGCUCCAAGUGACCUUCAUUGCCCUAUUCUUUUUCUCUUUUCUCUUGAUAGUGUUUGCACACUCAUAAGCAAUGUGUCCAUAGCCUUGACACUCAUGGCACUGAAUCCUAUUGUUAGAACUCCUAUGUUCACUAGUUCUAGAUGAUCUAGAGGCUUUGUCAUGUGAGACAUCUAGAGAACGAAAGUUUUUUGAGUUCGAACCUGAGUUGGUUCGUUGCUCACGACCCUUGGAAUUUUGAGACUUGAGAAGCCUUCUAAUUUGCAUGGUUAAUUCAACCAAUUCAUCUUCGGACAAGUCUUCAAUUGAGCCAUCACUUUCUUCUUCUUUGACAGCUUUGAGAGCAAUGCUUUUCAUCUUCUUAGAAUCAGGAAGCUCUAACUCGUACGUUUGCAGAGACCCAAUCAAUUGCUCAAGCUUGUAGGUGUUUAGAUCUUUCGAUUCCUCAAUCGCUGUCCUCUUAGCAUGAAACCUCAUAGGAAGUGAUCUUAAGAUCUUUUUCACAAUCCUAUGCUCAGGAAUACUGUCACCAAGAUUGUGACAGCCAUUGACAAUUACGCUAAGCUUAGCAUAAAAGUCAGAGAAACUUUCAUCAUCAGACAUUGUGAUAUUUUCGAAUUUUGUGAUGAGAUGUUGAAGUUUGGAUUCUUUAACAGUUGAGUUACCCUCAUGAGUAACUUCAAGAAUGUCCCAAGCUUCUUUCGCCGUUGUACACUUACUUAUGUAAUUGAAUUGUUCAGGCGAAACGGCUGUGAAUAAAGAAUUCAAAGCCCUUUGGUUAAAAGUGCUAGAGCUGCGCUCAUCAUUGCUCCAUUCUUUCCUAGGCUUAAGCUUAGAUAUCGACACAGAGGAUUCUCCUUUAUCUUUAGUUUCUUCAAUCGUUGGAGGUUCCCAACCUUCUUCAACAGCAAGCCACACCUUGUCAUCUUGCGCCCAUAAAAACGAUUUCAUUUUUGACUUCCACGCAGCAUAGUUGUCACCAUCAAAAUGUGGUGGAUGAGAAACUGAACCCAUAGCACGAUUCAUCCUAGACUACCCACGGAUCUCACUAGGUAUUUUUAGUGACCUGCUCUGGUGCCAAUUGAAAGUUCUAGGAUGGUACUAGUUUAACCUAGAGGGGGUGAAUAGGUUCCAAUUUAAAAAUCCAAUUCAAUUUUCAAUUUAAUUUUCAGUUCUCAAAUUAAUUCCACAUUCACAUCACAUAUAAACUAUCCUACACAUAUGCAAUUAUAAAGAUAAAUAAAAUGUGCACACAAGAUGUAGGAUUUAACGAGGCAAAACCCACCACUGGGAAAAUCCUCGGGCUCCCAAGCCAGGACAAACACUAAGAGAAAUGAGUACAGAAAGACUUACAAAACUCAUCAACUAUACACGCAUACUAGUAGGCAAUUUUGUCUCCGCACUUUGCUACUCGAUCUCUCUUCAGCCUUCGAGUGGAAGUGGCACGACACUAAUGCGGCCCGUCAAUCACUGUCGCCUCGAACUUUGCAGAUACUAACGCGAUCAUGCAGAAUGUAUGAAAUGAAAUGAUUUUGAAAAUCAAUCAAUUAUGAAAAUCACAAGGCACAUUUUCAUAAUUGAUUUCAAUUGAAGCACAAUGAAAAACCAGUGAACAAAACUAAAUUUUUCUUUAAAAGAAAAAAUACGUGGAUACAAACUGAUUUUUUUCUACCAUAAACCUCACGGGAAAAAUACGAUUUUUCUUUUGAAAACACAGGCUGCUGACCGACAUGGAAAACAAACUUUCUGCUGUUAUAUGAAUGACGAUGCAUUCAGUGCAUGGUGCUGCAUCAAAUGAAAACUACAAUACAUACCUUCCGAGCAUGCAGCAAUAUAUAAGAAUAUAUAUGUAUUCUAAAACAUGCAGCAAGUAUAUAUAUAUAUGACUUAAACAAUGAAAGUGCAGCAGCAAUCCAAGACUAAAAAACCUUAUUCUCAUAUAGCAGCAGCAUCCUUUUCACUUUCACGAAAACGCAAAGGCAGCAACACAAAAACUCUUUUGUUUG